rnacentral:sRNA from 1 species
UGUAUCUGAAGUCUGACGAGGAUGAGAACCUCCAGAGGCAAGAGGUUCGACCCGAGCGAAGCGAGAGAACGUUGCGUCAGCAACGGCCCGCAGGGCGAGCCACGCAGUGGCGAGUCAUCCUCUAUCACCGACCA